ACCUACCUAAUAUAUUAAGUAUAUUUGACUUCCAAUCAAAAAGUUUGCACUAAACAAGGUAAGUA
rnacentral:tRNA from 1 species